GGACUGUUAUGGAUAUAAACUAACACUUAGGUAAAAUGUCUAUUUGCUACAUAGUAAGUAUUUACUCAAAAUGGCUGCUAGAGCACCCCCUCCCAUCGACCAAACACCUCGUGUGACAAGAUGGCGUCUCCAUCCGGAGUAAAAUCCCAAGAUGAUGGUGACAUCACACUUUGGAGGAAGUGCAUUAGAUAAGACACUUAACACUUGACCAAUUAAAGAUGUACUUUCCUUGUUAUCUCAUGUUUUGCAUAUGAUGUAUUUUGUAAAAACAAGAUAAAGAGUCAGCGCUAAGUAAUGGGUAGGCAGCAACCCCUCAAAGUCCCUUAAAAAACAACAGAAAAUACAAAAAAGAGGCUGCGUCACACAGAAUAAAUAUAGUAG